GACGAACGCUGGCGGCGUGCUUAACACAUGCAAGUCGAACGGAAAGGCCUUUUCGGAGGUACUCGAGUGGCGAACGGGUGAGUAACACGUGGGUGAUCUGCCCUGCACUCUGGGAUAAGCCUGGGAAACUGGGUCUAAUACCGGAUAGGACCGCACUUUAGUGUGUGUGGUGGAAAGUUUUUUCGGUGUAGGAUGAGCCCGCGGCCUAUCAGCUUGUUGGUGGGGUAAUGGCCUACCAAGGCGGCGACGGGUAGCCGGACUGAGAGGUUGGUCGGCCACAUUGGGACUGAGAUACGGCCCAGACUCCUACGGGAGGCAGCAGUGGGGAAUAUUGCACAAUGGGCGCGAGCCUGAUGCAGCGACGCCGCGUGGGGGAUGACGGCCUUCGGGUUGGAAACUCCUUUCGCCAGGGACGAAGCGUUUUGUGACGGUACCUGGAGAAGAAGCACCGGCUAACUACGUG
rnacentral:rRNA from 1 species